UGUAGUUUUGUGAAGGCUAAAAUGACACAUGCUUGUAGAAUAUGGAUGUGGGGACACUUGUGGGUGUUUGGUUAUAAUUGUUUCAUUCAUACCGAACAACCUGUAUGCCCUGUAGGAUGAAAGAUUUAUAUAAGGAAUUUUCUUUCUGAGACCCCUCAAGGUACCAUUAAGUUUGCACCCACUUUUUUUUUUUUCACAUGCCAGUCUUGCAGAGUUGUUAAAUGGAAUAUGUUAGGAUAAGUUAGAGAACUUACACAACUGCUGAAAAAAAAGUGUAUGACAUCAUGAAAACUUCCAUUAAUUAACUUGUCAGUGGGGCAAAAUGGUGAAAUCAAGUUGGACAACAUUCAAAUAAGUGUGUCUCACCAUCGUUUUUGCUUUAACCUUCUCCUUCUCCCUCAAUAGCUUCUCCAGUUCACCCCAAAAAUUUAACAAACUGACCCGAAACCCUCUCUCUUGCCUUCCCUUCCAAUGACGUGACAUGACCCGCAAUGUCUCCUCCGGUGGCCUCCGCCGUCGGAACACCCUCAACCUUCACCGUUAACCUCCCUCCUCCUUUAUCCAGAUGGCCACCCUUCUUCCCUUUCCCUCCUCCCGCCUCCCACAAAUCCCAUGACUCGCCCCUGGACCUUAGUAGUCACCUCUACAACCCCCCAUCGCCUUCUCCUCCACCCCUCCUUCCUCUGCUGGACACUCACUUUUUUUCCACCCUCCUACAACCCAAAAUUCUUCCCCUAUCGGCCUUUGUCCGCCGAGACUGUUAGAUACUGAGAUUCAAAAGUGGUAAUGUUGUGUGGUUGGCUCGUUUCUAGGCAGCAGGAGACCACCGUUCAUCAUUGUAAAAUCUUCCCUGGAAAAGCAAUGGAAGCCAGUCUGUGCCGUGUGCACCUUUAUGCUUGAUAAUGGGACUUUCAUAUUCAAGUUCGACUCUGAAAUUGAUAAAGCCUUCGCUGUUGAUGGUGGACCUUGGCAUGUUGGAAAGAAACCGAUAUUUCUCAAGCAGUGGGAUGCUUACAUGUCGUUCUCUAAGAUGGAACCCACCUCUAUUCCUCUCUUGGUGACUUUCCCCAAUCUGCCUCUUCAUUAUUGGUGCGUGAAAGGCCUUAGCUUGGUUGGAUCUCUUAUUAGUAAACCAUUAUACUCUGACAAACGUACCGAGACCAUGGACAGACUGUCGUUUGCAAGAAUCUGUAUAGAGGUGGAAGCCGAUCAUGUUCUCCCAUCUUCAGUAAAAAAAUUUGAAGGGGAAGAUUAUUUAUUCACCCAAGAAGUCCAAUACGACUGGCGGCCCCCCUUGCACAAUCUGUAAGUGCUUCGGACACAAAGCAGAGACAUGCAACUUCGUCACCCAGGAUGUCCUCGUUCCAGCCUCUGAACAUGAACACUCGAGUGAACGCGCUCCAGCAGAUGCUCAAACCCACUGUGAAUCUCGAUCUCAAUUCUGACUGAUCCCAGCAAUCCACCUUCUCGGUGAAGAUCUCUAAGAAGAUCAAACGGAAAAGGCCCCAGAAGACCCUGUCGUCGACCUUUGUCCUUAGUUCUGGCCCCCUCCCGACGGAUCCUAUGCUACCAUUAACCGUUGGUCCAACACCUCCAACUUUGCCCAUUGGUCCUAACCCUUUCUCGGUGUUGGACUUGUCAAAUCUUGAUGGAACUACUCACCAACCUUCUGAAUCCUUGACUAACAAUCCUAGGCGCAAUCUCCCUCCUCUUCUUCCUCUCUUUGCUUCUGCCGCCGAUACCUUAUCCUCGCUGACAUUAAACUCAAACCCCUUCCCCUCCUCUAGUUAACCUUCUUAUGGUCUUGAGACUUAUCGGUCCACCCUCGAAUCGGUCCAAUCCUCAUCAGGGAAUCCUUCCCUUGCCACCAAUUCAAACCGGUCCACCCAUGGCCCGCCUUUCAUCCCGUUAAAUCAAUUUUUGCCGGUUCACCAUCUUAUCGAUUCUUUAAAUACCCGAAGGAUCACCCCUAAUACCCAAGUAAUCUUUACAACCUGACCCACCAUCUCAACCAAACCAACCCACCCACCUCCUCACCUAACCAUUUAAACAUUACCUAUCUACCCGGUUGCCCAUGAAAACUGGUUCUCCUUUAAUUUAUAGCCCUGGAGCCAACUCCAGACUCACUAGUGACUCGACCUCUGUUUCUCUGGCUUCUUCUGCAGCUCUCAGUACUAUCCCGUCAUCCUUGCCCUUCUUCCUCUCGCCCCUGCCCUGCCACAACAUCAUCUUCGGCGUCCUCUGAAGACUGUCUCCAAGCAUCUCAGCUGCCCUGCUAUUCAAGCCCUAAUCAUCCCAGCUACUCUACCCAAAGCACCAUUGAAGGCCCCAUCACAACUCCCCUUGUUAUAGACUCCUCUCGGCAACCUCUGCAACCAAAUGUCCUUGUUGCUACUGCCAUUGAUAACAAUGAUGCCUCCCUCAAUAUGUGCAAUUCAUUGUAAAACCAUCCAAAAGGAAAACCUUUGGUUGGCACUCUUCAUCUUAUGCCCCCACCAUACUGAACCCGACCACCAUCACCACCCCAUCGACCACUAAUAGCCCCUCAUCCACCAUAACCAACCAAAAGAAAACAAGCAAAAAAUCUUCCAUUAAAACUAGAUCUUCUUCCCCAACCACCUUCUCUAUCAUUGGCUAUAGCUGUCGACCUCCCGCCUGGGUCCCCCCAUUCCCAAGACCCCUCGUUGCUCCACCAAACGUUCGAUGCCCCCCACUCUCGGUUCCAUAUGAUUCCUUAGACCAUAUAGAAUGUCCGAGGUCUCAAUUCUUUGGCCAAACAAGUAGAUAUUAGAUCUCUCAUUCGCUCCUCUAAAACCAACCUCUGUUGCCUUCUGGUAACUUACGUUUUGGAAGCCAAUGCCUCCCGGAUCGCUUCCUCGAUCGCUCCCUCUUGGGCUUUCGUUUCUAGUUAUCUCCAGAGCCCCAAUGGGAGGAUUUGGAUCCUUUGGGAUCCCUGUUUUCUAUCCAUCUCCACUCUCUCCUUUGCCUAGGCCAUUCACUUGUCUAUCUCUCAUCACUAUGGCCCCUUCAUAUGCUUCCUCUCAAUCAUCUAUGCCUUAAACUGGGGCCCCCAAAGGCUUCCCCUCUAGGCUGACCUGCUCUUCUUCACCCCCUUCACUAGAUCUAGUCCUUGGGGCAUUACGGGAGACUUCAAUGUCACUUGUUCUAGCCACGAAAAACAUGGAGGAAACCCUAUUGAUUCCUCGUCCAUUAAAUCUUUUAACGAUUGUAUUAAAGAUCUAAAUCUCAUUGACCUCCGUUGGUCAGGUGCCAAAUUUACUAGGCAUAACAGGAUAUCAGGAAAUUCAAGGGUGGCAUGCAAGUUCGACCAAGUCCUUGUCAAUGAAGCCUGGCUUGAUUCUUUUCCAUCUUCGCAUACUACCGUUGGUCUUUAUAGUAUCUUUGAUCACAGCCCCAUCUCUAUCCAUGUUCUCCCCUUUCAUACCUUUGGCCUUAAACCUAAAAAGUUCUUUGAUAUGUGGGUCUCCCAUUCAGACUUCUUCCCUCUUGUCCAGAAUGCUUGGAAUAUGCCCACCCCUUGCUCUCUUUCCCCCCUUUUGGAUUUUGCCAAAAAGCUCAAGAAUGUGAAAGCUUCCCUCAAACUUUAGAAUUCCUCAACUUUCGGGAACAUAUCCUCUCGGGUUGCUUCCUGUCGAGAUAGUCCUCUCCAUCCAAGGUAGACUUUAGUAGGAUCUCCUUAAUCCUGCCCUGGCUGAGGAGGAGAAAGCGUCUGCCUCUGAGUUAUCUCUGGCUCUUUGCCAAGAGGAAACUUUCCUCUGACAAAAAGCCCACAUCAAAUGGAUUGAGCAAGGAGACUCCCAUUCUGCUUACUUCCAUUGUUCUCUCAAAUCUAGGAACAACGUUAAUGCCAUCCCUAAGCUCAUCUUCUCCUCUGAGGUUGAGCUCCUCUCCCCUGAUCUCUUCAAGUUUGAAGCGACCUCUUAUUUUCAGAGAACUCUUUAGUCCUUCCCCUCCCACCCCCCAUUCCCCUUGAUCUUAUUAAUAAUUUUGUCCCCUCUGAGCUCUUCCGCCCCUCCAAUCCAUCCCCAAUUAUGAGGAAAUCCUUGUGGCCAUUCUUUCCCAUAAGGCCAAUAAAGCCCCAGGUCCCGAUGGCUUUAGCAUGGGUUUCUUCUCCGCUUGCUGUAACAUCAUUCGAAAUGACCUCAUUCAAGCGGUGCGCAGUUUCUUUUUAAAUCCCAAUCAAAUAGGUGGGACCAAUCACACUUUCCUUUGCUUAAUCCCAAUAAAGGAAGGAGCAGUGUAUGAGUGACUUCAAACCCAUUUCCCUGUGUAAUCUCCUCUACAAGAUGAUUUCCAAAAUCAUAGCCAAUAGGAUUCAAAAAGUCAUUGAUCGACUCUCUUGUUAGUCCCAAUCAAUCCGCUUUCAUUGCUGGAAGGAGCAUCUCUGACAAUAUCUUCCUCUGUCAUGAAAUUGUCCAUGGUUUUGACCGCAAGUCUCACUCCCCUACAGCCCUCCUCAAGAUUGACAUUUAUAAAGCUUUUGAUACGAUCAUUUGACGUUUCACCUCUAAUGUGUUGACUCUCAUGUCCUUCCCUCCCUCCACCGUUUGUUGGAUUCCACUUGUAUUUCGACCCCUUGUUUCUUUAUCCUUGUGAAUGUUAAUCCGGUUGGGAAGCAGGGUACUUUCCCUCUGGUUGUGGUAUCCGUUAGGGAUGUCCCCUCUCCCCGCUCCCUCUUCUCCAUAUCACUUGAGGUUCUUUCCCGCUGCCCUCACCAUCUCCACUAUCAUGGAUUCCCUCCAUUCCUUUGAAUCUCUUUCGGGUCUCAGUAUCAACCUCCUUAAAUCCAACAUGUUUCUCUCUGGAGUCCCGCCCGAUGUCUAAAAUAUCCUCAAAAUCUCUGGAAUCCCUCUUGGCUAGCUGCCUGUUAAAUACUUGGGCCUCACCCCUUAUUUCCUCCAGGCUGUCUUCGCACUAUUGCACCCCCUUGCUUGAUAAAUUGAGGAAGAGGCUUCAGUUUUUUAAAGCCAAACUCUUCUCCUUCGCUGGUUGUCUCACUCUCAUCAGAUUGAUCCUCCAGCCUAUGUACCUCUAUUAGUCUGGCACUUUUAUCCUUCCUGUCUCUGUGAUCAAGUUUUUUGAAAGUCUCAUCUGCUCCUUCCUCUGGAAAUGUUCUAACUCCUUUAAAUUCCUUUGCCCUCUUAGCUGGAAGAAUGUCUUCCUUCCAAAAUCUGAGGGAGGACUUGGAAUUAGGAGAAUCAAGGACGCCAACUCUGUCGUGUUUCUCAAGCUCAUCUGGAAAAUUGUGUCCAAGCACAAAAGCAUAUGGGUUUAUUGGAUCCACUCUGGGUUCCUCAAGCACAACUCGCUCUAGACUGCCACUCACAUUCCUGAUGCAUCUUGGAUAUGGCGAAAGAUCCAUGAUCAUAGACCCAUAGCCCUUUCUGUCACUCCAUCGGCAAUGGUCUGUCCACUUCUCUUUGGAAAGACCUUUAGCAUCCUGCCUGCAUCCUCUCCCACUUGACAUCUCCCAGAAUCAUCUAUUCCUCGGGUCUUCCUGCCAACACUCUUGUCUCCUCUAUUCUUUCCCCCUUGGGUUGGUCCCCCCAUCUUCUUCUCAGCCUCCUCUUCUUAAUCUUUGGACCGCCCUCCCUCCUCUACCCCCUGGCCACAGAGGUAGAGAGGAUAAGUGCAGAUGGCUCCCCACCUCUGGGAUCUUUUCGUCUGCCUUGGCUUGGUCCAACAUUCAUACCCUAACCCCCAUAGUUCCUUGGCACAAGUUGAUUUGGUUUAAAGGCCAUAUUCCUCGCCAAAGUUUCACCCUCUGGCGUUACCUUUCUAUCUCCCCACCCAAUCCUUCCUCAUUCACCGGCAGAUCCCUGCCAACCCCUCCUGCUGUCUCUGCCCCAGGGUGUGGAGGAUAUCCCUCAUUUUUUCUUUUCUUGUCCUCUCUUCUUCUGUCUGAAAGCUUGUCCUCUCCAAGUGCUGGCCGGUUAGGAGACCCAUUCUUCCCUCCUCUAGGGAGUGGAAUUGGAUUGACAUGACCUUUUGGGGCUCUUCCAUCUGCGAUACUGUUGGUAAAUUGGCUUUCUCUGCAACCAUUAAUCACCUUUGGAUGGAACGUAACAUCCUUAGAUGGACCCGAAAUAUCGCUCGCAGGAGGAGAUUUGGAAAGCUAUCUACUUUGAUGUCACUUCCAAAAUCCCUACCCUUCAUGGCCACCCAGUUGCCAACUCCCUUAGAAAUGUCCACAUCAUCACCUCUUGGAACCUGAGGGUGAAAACCAUCCCUCCUUCUAAAGCCACCAUUGUCCCUCCUAUGCCUAGAAGAAGCCUACCCCUCCUCCCCCCUCCCUCCUCCCUCCUCCCUCCUCCCUCCUCCCCUAUCCUUGGGUUGGUUUUGUUGAUUUUAGUCUUGCUUGUUGGUUGUAUUAAGCUUUUUUCUCCUUUCGUUUGCUGCAGUUUGUCUUUAGUUGGCUUUUCCUUGUUGGCUUAAGGCUUCUCCUCCCCCCCAUCUCCUUCGUAUAUUCUUCUCCUUGCUUGGUAAUGAAUUAUUUAUUCAUCCAAAAAAAAAAAAAAGUUCACCCCAACUCCUCUUAUCACUCUCUAUGAUAUAUUAAUCCAACCCCAGUGCGCUAAUCCCCCCCUCCUUUAUCUCCAGUGUCUAACUUGCAUUUAUAUCCUGUUAAGUAACCUAGAGUACCCAUGCUGUCGGGCGAGGUUUUAAUCUUGAGCCUUUGGGAUCCAAGUCCAACACUCAUAAGAGUUGAGUUGAAAUCCUAGAAGGCAUUGAUCCAUAAUUGGGGAUUCUAACUUACCCAUCCCAGAUAUGAUGCAAAAGCGUACGUGUGUAGCAUCAUUUUUAUAUGAUGUCAUAUGUCUUUAAUAUCCCUACCCUGGAUGGUAAGGAGACGAAACUCUUGGCAUACCUGCAGUUCAGCUGAUCAAUUAUCUGUGGCUUGAAGAGAGUAUCUCUUAUUGGAACCAUUAAUGAUAUCAAGAGCUACUCUACGAACCUAAUCAUCAAAUACGAGAUUUCAGAUCUCCUUUAACAUCGAGAUUUCCCUGUUGGAUCAAUUCCUUGUUGAUGAGUUCUUGUAAGCAGUCCAUGGAAGCUUCUGUUACUAUUUUCUUUGGAGUUCUGCAUCAUAGCUGAGUAAUACUGCUUUGAGUAUUGUAUCAUCUCUAAUAAGAUUUAUCUAAUUCCUCUCAUUGGCAAAGACAUUUUCCCCAAACGUCAGGGCUGCUCUUUCCCCUCAAGACCCCUCAGCAAGAAACCUGAUCACAAAAGGCAAUUACCUAAUUUUCAUGUGAUCCCUCUUGGACAAGUCCCGGGAGGGCAGAAGGCUGUGUAUUUGGAAAUUGGACCAAUUUGCAGAACAGAGUUGUUUGGAACCUGCAAAUGGAUGGUCAACCUUCAAUCUGACCUCACUCUUUUUAUUUCUUUUUGGUAAUAUCAAUCUGAGCUCACUCGAGUCUUGAAAAAUUUCUGAUUUUGGCCAAGGACGCACGACAGGGCAUGCGUGAGCAGUUGAACCAUAAAAUGAGGCCAAACCAUCUUUCGGAAUUGCUCUUCUUUGUGGGGAUGAAGAGAAAAGGAGGGCUCAGAGGAUUAAGUUUCAGGUUUAUUCAAUUUACUUGGAGGUAUUUAUUCCUCUUUUGUUCCUGGGUUCCUGAGUAUGUCCAUCUCAAUAAUUUCAUCAAUUACAGGGAGAGAGCAGGCUUUGGCAAGCUCAAAAUGAUGACAAAGGAAUCAAGAUAGGAUAUAGCUCGUGACCGUGAGAGGACCGGAUUACAUUAAUACCCUUUGUCAUCUACAAACCAGUCACUUCCAAAUGAAUUUAAAUUUCCUAUUUUACCCUUAAUCUGAAGUACCUUUUGAAAUAAGACAAGGGACUUGCAUCUUGCUUGGAAAGAACUGUCGCCGAAGAAACUUAAUAUUCACCAUUGUCACUGACUCAUACAUUCUCUUAUAGUCUCCCAUCUUUCUCAUGCAGACUCAAUGUCUCCCACUGAAACUAGCACCUUAUCCUUGACCACCCUUCGCAGCACUUUUUUUUUUUACUAUCACCAACUAUAGAUGCAGCUCAUAUGCUUUCUUUUGUUGUUCGGCUACAACAACAUCACUUGAUUGAAGAAGCCAUUAGCGCCAGAGCAGAUCUGCGGGCUUCUCUUUUAUCAAGAAUUAAAAAAAAAAGAUCCUGUUCUUUGAUAAGCAAAGACAAGGGACAAAUAAAAGGAGGUGAUAUUUCUAAAUACACCUAUAGGGGUAUCAUUCAGACAGUCCCUUUAUUUAAUAUAUUGUUGUAGAUACAUCUCAAUCUGUCUCCUAUGUUUCUUUUAUUGCUUGAACUGAGCUAAAUCACAAUUGCAUUAAAUUUUAUUUAGAGGUUAGGUGAAAUAUUUUAGUCUAAUUGCUGAAUAAGUAUCGAAAUUUUUUGUCCCUAAAAGUUCCACUACCUUUCUAUGACACAUUAAUACAUAUGCGCUUGACAAGGUGGACUUUCAUUUUUAAACGUUACUUUUUCUUCAAAUUCUUGAAAAGUUAAAUGCAGGUUUCCUAAUUCACAUGCACAAAAGUGGCAUUGAUGUUCUGUAUUGUGUGGAAUGAUCAUAUUUUGACAUUCUUUUACUGUAUUUGUAUACUUCUAUGCAUUUAAAGCAUGACAUCUGCACAUGGAGAUACAUUCUGACAUUUAUCUUCUAUUUACUUAAUGAAUUAUCAGUUAAUGUGUAUCUGUCCCACAGACUCACAGUUAUUGACAGUCAGUUUGUCCUAGUAAAGUGCUUCACUUAUAAUUGGGCUUCCUGGAUCUGUUGUACACUAGAAUCAUAAUGAGAUCUUUAUCUUUUCUCUUUCACGUUCCUUUAUGUUCGUUUAUGGGUUUUUGCACAGUAAAAUCAUAAUGAGUUAUUUGUUACAAGUGUAACAAUUUACAAGCUAGAUAUUUCUCUAGCCUCUAUAUUUAUUAACUUUGUUAUUUGCAUAUGUUAUAUAGGAAUACAGGUCUCGAAGGGUGGAGAUUGAAUGCUAAGAACAUUUGAAGAUUGUGACAUCCCUGUUUGAAGCUGCCGGAAGUUUUUCCAUCAGGCUCUCAGCUAAAAUAUAGUUUGCAUUUAGCUAAUAACUUGCAUGGAGAUUACCAGCUUGCUAAUGGUUAUGGGCAUGACAAAGCCAAGAAAGUUCUUAAGGUAACUUUUGUUCUUUUAACUUUUUUGUUUUAAAUUUUUUGUUUUUGGGUCCAAAAUAAGUGAAAGACAGAAUCCUGCGGUUGUGGCCUGUGGGUUCUCCAACCUUGAUAGUUCGUGGAUCUACCAUGGGCUGCUUCUUAGGUGGGGCGUCUAGCAUGAUUUGUAUGUGUCCUGGUUCCCUUAAUGAGAAAAAUAAUAGACAAAUAAAAUUCUCUUGUUUUGCAUGACUUGGCCAAGUCAGCAUCUUAACUGCUUCUGUUACAAGAAGAAUAAUCCUAUAUGGGACAUACAGUUGAGUUGGCUGCUGUCAUUUAACAAGUGUCUAACCUGAUGAUCCCAUCUUUAUCCAAGUGUUGAAAUGGUAAUGUCAUCCUACACUGUACAUAAUUUAAAGGACUACCCUAUAAGAAAGUUGUGUGGGUGGCCUGCCCACCAGCCCACAAAACCUUCUUCCAUCUCUUUUUUUAAUCUCUUGUAAAAAAUUUGGAUGGUUCUGAGCAAUAGCCAUUAUCGUGUAUAGCCUCUACAUUAUGGUAGCCACAUAGUGUUGGGUUAAAGCUCCAUAAGGGAUUAAAGGGAUCUGUAAUCAGUGACUUCCAACUUGUAGCCUUUACUAGUUUUAUUAAAGACUAACCAUUCUAUUAUGUUCAGUGAAUUUUGUCUCUGGAAACUACAGGAACAUAGAAACAACUUUAUCAACCAAAAAGACUUAAUUUUCCUGUGCAAGCAUGGGAUAAAUAUAUCGAGGAUACCAUUCGGUUGGUAGAUUGCCUGGGAUCCAAAUACUCCACCACCACCUUUUAUUGGGGGUUCUCUGGCAGCCCUUGAUAAUGCAUUCUCAUGACACGAUGAAUUAUGGAUGGCUGUAAAAGAAGUCAUAUGUGAGGAUGAUAAGGAACAAUGUCAAUAUGAAUAAGCACUGGUUGCAAUUACAGUUGAGGAGUCUUAGAAGUGGUACUGCCAAUGCAUUGAAAAAUCUGAUUUUUGGUGUGGCGAGUCAGAGUUACUGCCUUACUGGUGAGUAAUUCCAGUUACCAAUCAUCUGACCCGAAUUUUUCUGUCCUUGGGUUUUUGGAUAUUGUUUCCAUUUUUCAGAGUUCCACAAUGUAAUGAUCACUGUGAGGUUUAAUGGACUAUAGUAAUCAGUUUAUUGUGCUAAGAUUCUAAGAAACUUCUACGAUCUGUUCAAUGUAUCUGCAUCAUGUCCCAUUUCCACUCUUAUUUUUCUGCAUUGUGAACUAUAAUUACUUUCAGAAGUAUCUUGAUGUGGCUAUCUCUAUGUUUAGCAACAAUUGGGCUAUUGUCUGAUUUUUAUUGGCUAGUAGAAAGGUGGCGGUUAUUGGGUUGUUUAAGUUAUGAUAAUUAUAUGGUUGAUGCAUCUGCCAUUUUCUUUCUCUUAAAUGAAAUCAUCAUCAACUAUUAGGUGCCAUUUUGGGAUAAACCUACAUUAGACUAGGAUAUCAUACUCCUAUGAGAUCUUGUGAAUCUAGACAAGGAAAAGAAUGUUGGGAAUCUGUUGGAAAUGGAAUGUUUACUUAAUAUAAAUCUUCUAUGAAUCUGGCUUUCUUCCGUUUCCCACAUCAUAGCUAAUUGGGCUGGCAAAAAUUAGGGUGAAUAUGGCUGACUGGCUUGUUUGAAUGCAUAAGAUAGACUCGAGUGAACAACUUGGCAUCCCAACGGUGAGGUUGAAUGCGAAGCUGAGCACUUACCAUCCAUUCAAUAGGCAAGCAAUCUCUUAGCAGUACAGGACAUUUUAUUUUCUUGUGUGAAUCGAGAUAGGUUUGACUCCGCUUGAGUGCCCCAAUUGGCAUCCGACCCAUGGGGUUGACAUGAGUGAAGCACUCAACAUCCCAUGGUGAAGGCAACCAGUCUCUUAGCAGCAUAGGGCAUUUUAUUUUCUGAUUAAAAUAAACAAUCUUUCAGUGUGCCCCCUUGAUCCUAGUGGUCACUUUGGUGCUAAAUCCUUGUUUUCCUAUCUCAUCUAAUGUAGAUCGAUGGAGGCUCAUGAGAAACCAGUGUAUUUGGGCCAUAUUCUGACAACACUUGGGCUAUAGCUCUCCAAACAGAUUUUAUCAGAUCUGUGGGCACAUAUGGCCUUGUGUGGGAAGGACUCCUUCAAGAAGAUUUUGCUUUAAUUAGUUUCUAAUUCUGUUUUAAAGAGAUAUAGGCUAGAUUGUAUUGGAUAGCUAAGAAUUUGUUUCCUUUUUAUUAGUUUCUAAAAAAUGGGAUCUGUGCGUCUGUGUGUAUGAGUGAGAAAGAAAGAGAGCGAGAGAAGGAGAGAGAGGGCAGGGAUCUUGGGGUCUUGAAUGGCAGAGAUAAUGAUAGGUUUGAGGGGGUGAAAAUCUUCACCAGGUUCGCACACGGGGUAGCAAAAAGAUUGCAGGACAAACAAGCUGUGUGGAAUGUAAUCAUAGCAGGGGAGAGUACUGGAGCGGGAGAUGUAGAGAGAGUUUUGGGGGGGGGGAGAAAAAGAGAAAGUGGGGGCCCUAGUUACAGAAGAUGUUCCCGGAAGAUUCUUCCAUCAUCUUUCCAUCCUGCGGCAAGGGUGAGACUGAGUGAGAUGAUGAAUUUUCUGUUCUCCAAACACAGCCUAAUGUAAAAGCCCCAUAUCGUCAAUCUCAAACACUGAGUCAAUGAGUCGGAGUUUGCCGCUAUCAGGCCACUUGUGUCAGUGACUCGGUGUUGAGUCUAUUGACCAAAUAGAAAUGAGAAACGAAUUAUCUUACAUCGAAGAAUUACAAACUUCCAGUUCUAUAAUUCAAAGUUUUUCUCUAGUCUGAGAAAAUCCUAAUUCUUUUCUGAGAUAAACCCUAAUUUUUUUUUUGAGUUAAAGUGGUCUCCCUCAACUUCCCAACUGUUGGUACAUUUGCAUCUUUUCCCAUUACAACCCCAGUUAGUCAUUAACUGCAGUGCUGUGGUAACACAAAUGCCAUUAUAUGGUGUGCGGUUUUACAGUUUUGAAAUUUGUCUCCCUCAUUGCUGCCAUUGUUUUUACAUGUCUUUCUGCAAUCCGUAGAGAAGACAUGGUGAAUGUCCAACAAGAUCGAAUGCAGUUCUCAGAGGAGCCUUACAUUGAAGAUGUCGGUCCCGGAAAAUAAAGAGUAUUAAGUUUUCAAUGUUCUCUGGAGAUGAAAUAAAUAAAGCAGCUGAGGUGCAAGCCCACAAGAGUUGAUACUAUAAUGGAGUCAGUAUGACAACUGAAAAAGGACUGUUGGAUUCCCGAAUGCAUUGAAGAUGAUAUUACUAUGAAAUUAUGUAUGUUUAUUAGAGAAAUUGCUUCUCUACGACAGAGUUUACAAGGUGUAAGUAUGAUAAAAGUGCCUUGACUUAGAUACUUUUCUACUUUACCCUCGGAUUUUUUUUUUUUUUGGGAGGGGAGUUGGGAUUUUGUACCUUUGGGUUAAACACGGAAUAUGACUUUAAAUAGAGUCUAAGGGUAAAUCAUGAUUUGUUCAAUUGAUCCCAUUUAGUAGGGAAGGGGGGAUUCUGUACCUUUGGGUUAACACGAAAUAUGACUUUCAAU